rnacentral:rRNA from 1 species
CUACGGGCUGCAGCAGUGAGGAAUUUUGCACAAUGGGGGGAACCCUGAUGCAGCAACGCCGUGUGGAGGAUGACGCAUUUCGGUGUGUAAACUCCUUUUAUAUGUCAAGAAAAUGACGGUAGCAUAUGAAUAAGCACCGGCUAACUCCGUGCCAGCAGCCGCGGUAAUACGGUGGGUGCAAGCGUUACUCGGAAUCACUGGGCGUAAAGGACGCGUAGGCGGGUUGGAAAGUCAGGUGUGAAAUCCUACAGCUUAACUGUAGAACUGCACUUGAAACUUCUAAUCUAGAGUAUGGGAGGGGGAGAUGGAAUUAGUGGUGUAGGGGUAAAAUCCGUAGAUAUCACUAGGAAUACCUAAAGCGAAGGCGAUCUCCUGGAACAUUACUGACGCUAAGGCGUGAAAGCGUGGGGAGCAAACAGGAUUAGAUACCCCGGUAGUC